GAUGAACGCUAGCGGGAGGCCUAACACAUGCAAGCCGAGCGGUAUUGUUUCUUCGGAAAUGAGAGAGCGGCGUACGGGUGCGGGACACGUGUGCAACCUGCCUUUAUCUGGGGGAUAGCCUUUCGAAAGGAAGAUUAAUACUCCAUAAUAUAUUGAACGGCAUCGUUUAAUAUUGAAAGCUCCGGCGGAUAGAGAUGGGCACGCGCAAGAUUAGCUAGUUGGUGAGGUAACGGCUCACCAAGGCGAUGAUCUUUAGGGGGCCUGAGAGGGUGAUCCCCCACACUGGUACUGAGACCAGGACCAGACUCCUACGGGAGGCAGCAGUGAGGAAUAUUGGUCAAUGGGUGCAAGCCUGAACCAGCCAUCCCGCGUGAAGGACGACUGCCCUAUGGGUUGUAAACUUCUUUUGUAUAGGAAUAAACCUACCCUCGUGAGGGUAGCUGAAGGUACUAUACGAAUAAGCACCGGCUAACUCCGUGCCAGCCGCCGCAGUAA
rnacentral:rRNA from 1 species